GAAAUCAAAAUACAUUAAGCAUGAAAAUAAUUCACAUAAAUUUCUAAGGAAACUGAUUUUGGCAAAUGUAUAUAAACACCAGAAACAAUCAACUCCUUACUUAUAUAAUUAUGUGCACAAUCUAGUCUUGUGAUAAAAAUUUCAGAUUCUUAAAUGGGAAUAUUUCGUACACACUGCAACAUUCCCAGACUUUAGUGAGUAAACAUUGCUUGCACAGAUACCAUUUCAUGGGCAAAGGCUGACUCCCUCAUUUUCUAAACCUAUUAGGCCAUCAUUGCUCAGGAAAGCCCCAAUGGUGGUGAAGAUCUCUCUUUGAUAGUGGCUACACCCAACUCUUACACUGAAGAUGCUCUUGAAUAACCAAUUAAACAUUCUGGAGGUAACAGCUGAGAAGCUCAUUGUCAAAACAGAAUGGCACAUAGCAUCUGGAAUCAUUCACUGUAAAAUUUGACAACAGAACGGUGAGUAGGGUCAGACAUACUCCCUAUUUCCAGAUAGAUUAGAAGUUGCAUAUCUUUGACAUAUGAAUCUCAAUUGGCUACUAUUCCAAAUAUGGCCAUUGCUCAUUCUUCUAGGAGGGUAGCUAAUGUGACUAUUCUGUCAAGACAGCAAUGUCCUUGGGGAUAAUAUUCAGGAGGGCCACAUUGUCUGUAUAUUUCUUAAUUGUUCUGUAUAAUGCAUUUUUGCCUUAGCGGAAGAUAUUUCUGUGAGAAGACGCCUGAAAGGAUAGUUCCUUUUCUCUAGCUGCAUGUCAUAUUCAGCAUGUUCCUCUCCCAUGGUGACAUAACUAGGAGCUGAUGCAUCCUGCCAUAACUAUAUGCAAAGUUCUGUCUUCUGGUUUAAAUGGAAAGAACAAAUUCAAUAAACGAUAUCUUCUACCCAGUAAAGGCAUGGGGCCAGAUUAUCUGAGGGACCACUUGUUCCUGAUUACAUCUGCCAGUCCCAUCAUGUCCGGCAGAAGAAGUAUGUGGCAGGUUCUGUCUUCUGAUGAGUUGCAUCUAGUAUAAUCCAGAACAUGAGUCUUUUCUGCUGUGGCAUCUAUCCUGCAAAAUAUCAUCCCCUACAAGAAAAAGCUCCUGCGCAGCCCCAUCUAGACCAAAGAGUCGAAGCCUGUCUAUCAGCUCACAGCAUGGCUCAACAGCAAAUAAGAAGCUGCAACCUAGAGAAAUCCCAGCCUUCAUAUUCUGAUCAGCUGAUGACCUCAAUAUUCCAUUUCCUUACAACGAACUUCCGCAUCUCUGCUGUCCAUUUGAAAGGUCCACUUUACCUACCAAGAUAACUCACUCCAAUUACAGAGACAAAGACCUGUCCAGCUUCUCCAAACUGGCCAGAAACCCUGCUUUGUGGCCCUCAACUUCAAUUUUUUAAAAAAACUUUGCUUUCCCUUUGUUCAGGGUCUGUCUUUCUUGUAAAGCAGGUAUCUAAUUAUCAUUGCAAUAAAUAUGGAUCUCUUUC